GACUCAACAGCUCUUUGUGUGCACUUGGAUUCCAUUAGUCCAUGAACAUAUAAAAAUAAAAAAUAGACAGUAGCCCAGAUGGUUAUGUCCUUCUUUCAUGAUAUCUUUGAAUUGAACACUACCGGCCAGAAUAAUGCACGAACCAAUCCACUCAAACGUCUGCUAGCAAAUAGACUCUUCAAAGUAGCGACGCUGCAUCAAUUGACACGUCUAUUAUCGACAUCCACCACGUUCAACGGUACGAUGUUACCUAAUCGCCACAACUAUACCUCGCCGAUCAGCCUUGCCAUCUUCAACAAGGGCAGAGGAAGAUCUAGAUUCAAUCAAAUUCCAUCAGGUGUACUCUGAAGGGCCUUACAGUUGGUUGUCCAUAGAGGGAGGGAGCUAUUCGUACAUUGGAGAGGAGUUCGAACUAAACAGGGCUCGGUACUAGAAAAAGAAUAGCAAAGGAGGAACUGGUAGUUGACAAGGGAUUCAAGUCGGUUAUUCAUUCAUGUGAUUGCAAC
rnacentral:sRNA from 1 species